UACGUAGGGUGCAAGCGUUUAAUCGGAAUUACUGGGCGUAAAGCGUGCGCAGGCGGCUUUGCAAGACAGAUGUGAAAUCCCCGGGCUUAACCUGGGAACUGCAUUUGUGACUGCAUGGCUGGAGUGCGGCAGAGGGGGAUGGAAUUCCGCGUGUAGCAGUGAAAUGCGUAGAUAUGCGGAGGAACACCGAUGGCGAAGGCAAUCCCCGUGGGCCUGCACCUGGACCGUCAUGCACGAAAGCGUGGGGAGCGAA
rnacentral:rRNA from 1 species